UCAAGUUCUCAACCUCAUUUUCUUAAAAAAAAUCUCAAUCGCAACAACACAAAAAAGACCCGCAAUAUCGAUUAGCGAGAGUCGUUCCUCCACCAAACCAACCAAUUCGCUUCUCCGUCAACUUCACUUCCUCGUCGACGCCUCCGUCCCACCAACCAUGCCGGCGGCCAUGGCGGCUGCGGCGGCGCAGAGGCUCCUCGCGGCGAGCACGAAAAUCAUCGGCGUUGGGCGCAACUACAUAGCCCACGCCAAGGAGCUCGGCAAUCCGGUCCCCAAGGAGCCCGUCCUGUUCCUGAAGCCGACCUCGUCGUUUCUCCACGCUGGUGUGGCCACCGCCGCCGUCGAGAUCCCGGAGCCGCUCGAGUCGCUACACCACGAGGUCGAGCUCGCCGUCGUCAUCUCCCGGCGUGGGCGCGACGUUCCCGAGGCGUCCGCCAUGGACUUUGUUGGAGGUUAUGCACUUGCUUUGGACAUGACAGCAAGGGACCUUCAGUCUGUUGCUAAGUCUGCAGGCCUUCCAUGGACUUUGGCUAAAGGACAAGACACCUUCACCCCAAUUAGUGCAGUAGUUCCAAAAUCAGCUGUCACUAAUCCCGAUGAUCUCGAGCUCUGGCUGAAGGUAGAUGAUGAACUAAGGCAGAAAGGACCGACAAGCGACAUGCUAUUCAAGAUUCCUUUUCUGAUAAGCUAUAUCAGUUCCAUCAUGACAUUAAUGGAGGGUGAUGUGAUACUAACAGGUACUCCUGAGGGUGUGGGUCCUGUCCGAGUAGGUCAGAAGAUUACAGCUGGUAUAACUGACCUAAUUGAUGUUGAGUUCGAUGUUCAGAGGCGCAAUCGGUCAUUUUCCACAUGAUGCAAUAAGCAAGAAAGUAAUGGUGAAUACAAAGUGCAGUACUCGUCCUCGACCUUGAAUCGCAUUACUGGACCUGGAGCCAUUGCAGAUAGCUCUUGAGCCUUACCUUGAUUUAAUUUACCUGGGUUUUGAGAGACUAUCUAUGAAUAUGCUAACUCGUUCGUAAACAGCGACUUGAAACAGCUUCCGAGUGGGGUGCACGGCCGAUCUAUGUAACGUACGCGCAUAAGAAAUGGUGUCCUACAAAAUGCCUUCCACUUGCUUGAAACGAUAUGUAGAUGGACAGCGACGACGAACACCUUAACUCCCUCUCGCUAGAUAUCGAGCCAGCUUAGUUCGGUUCGACUGAGCUUGAGCUGACUCGUUAAGGUAAAGAGAUGACUUGGUUCGUUAAACAAUUGAGUCAGAGAAUUAGCUUGGCUCGUUUGCAAGUUUGGGCUGGCUCGUUUACCUCGCGAGUAAAAAAAUACAUGUAUAUAUAAAAUAGUAUAGUCAAUUGCUAGUUAAUUUUAUACAAAUUUAACAUUA